AAUUUCUGAAAAAAAGAUUCUUUUCUGGGAAAAUUAGGAAAUUUUGGUGCAAGCUUUGAUGUGGAAGUUUAUCUCACCUGUGACAUAGUUAUUUGUUUGUCAAUUGAUAAGAGAUACCUAAUAAUAAGAAACCUUUUUUUGUUUCAUUUUCGUUUCAUGUUCGUGAUUAUUCUAGGGAUUUUCGAGCUGUAAAUAGGCAUUUUGAAUUUUCGAGUUUUUUUAAUUUUUCUUUGGCAGACACUCAAUUACUAUGUGGAUAAACUUGUCUGACCAAACAGAAAUGCUUGAAAAUUUACUAUGAGGUUUAUCAAAAGUUGAACUUUGAAUGUAACGUGGUCAUUUUUUUUUA